CCUACGGGAGGCAGCAGUGAGGAAUAUUGGUCAAUGGUCGGGAGACUGAACCAGCCAAGCCGCGUGAGGGAUGAAGGUACAGAGUAUCGUAAACCUCUUUUGUCAGGGAACAAAGGCGGGGACGUGUCCCCGGAUGAGUGUACCUGAAGAAAAAGCAUCGGCUAACUCCGUGCCAGCAGCCGCGGUAAUACGGAGGAUGCGAGCGUUAUCCGGAUUUAGUGGGGUUAAAGGGUGCGCAGGCGGGCGGUUAAGUCAGCGGUCAAACCCCGGGGCUCAACCCCGGCCCGCCGUUGAGACUGGCAGUCUCGAGUUGGAGAGAAGGAUGCGGAAUGCGCGGUGUAGCGGUGAAAUGCAUAGAUAGCGCGCAGAACUCCGAUUGCGAAGGCAGCAUGCCGGCUCCACACUGACGCUGAGGCACGAAAGCGUGGGUAUCGAACAGGAUUAGAUACCCUUGUAGUC
rnacentral:rRNA from 1 species